ACGUAGGGCGCAAGCGUUGUCCGGAAUUACUGGGCGUAAAGAGCGCGCAGGCGGUCGUGCAAGUCGCGUGUGAAAGCCCCCGGCUCAACUGGGGAGGGUCACGCGAUACUGCUCGACUCGAAGGCAGGAGAGGGAAGUGGAAUUCCCGGUGUAGUGGUGAAAUGCGUAGAUAUCGGGAGGAACACCAGUGGCGAAGGCGGCUCACUGGACCGGUACUGACGCUGAUGCGCGAAAGCGUGGGGAGCAAACGGGA
rnacentral:rRNA from 1 species